UAAAAUGUAUAUUUUAUUUCAGUAGCAUGUCACAUCAAAUACAAUACAUCAUCCACCGACUCCAUGCAUUAAGGUUCAACACCUAACAAGUGCACAGAAAAAGGACCCAACAAGUGCUCAGUCGCACAAAAAGAGAGUUCCACAAAGAUUGGAUGAGAACCACAAGAUUCUUCUCAUCCUCUUCAUCCGCACAAUAUGCUCUUGCCAUUGCCUCCUGCAAGAGGAAAAUGAUGAUAAGGCUUUCAGAUCAAGGAAACUAGUAAAAUUGCAUGCACGAUAUAUUUUAUUGAAAGCUAUCCGAAGAAAGCAAUCAGGGGUAACGGAAAAGUAUAUGGAUCUGUAUUUUAUUAACUCAAAACGUGUAUAGAUACCCUUGCUUGUUUGUAAAGAGGUGCGAUGACAAUCGAAUACUACUUGCCUGAUUGUUUUACAGUACUAUACAUGGUUCAAGCAAUAUAUAGAAUGUACUCCUCAGUUGAGCAUACUCUCGUUCUGAAUGAAGAUACAACUUUUACUUCUGAGUGCCUUUUGCAAAAUUGAGGUAUAUGCUCUAUGCGCUACAAAUUGGUAUAAAACGUCCGCCCACGUGGAUAUACUACUACAUGGAUGAAUAUACCACAUUUUCAAUGGAUAUACUCAUAUUACGGAUGAACAUACUCUAUAUUUUAGUUUCAAAAAAAAACACACACUAUAUUUUAAUUAUGGAAAUACAAAUAUACUCAUACUGCAUAGCAAUAUCCUCCACUUCUAAUAAAUAAUUUCACUUGAAAAAGGAUAUAUAUCCAUAUUUCGUACGGCGAGUGCAGACGGAGACAUGUACUAGUAUGUUUCACAUUCAUGUUCAUGUCUGGAUGAUUAUAGUAGCAUAUAUUACUUCUGAUGGAAAAAUCAUGUGAAAGGUGUUUAUAUAUACUGCCAUACUUGUUCGAAAGCUUAGUAGUAACAGAUACUUCAUAUAUAGAUGGAAGCGAUAAGGGAAGUCACACAUGCAAAUUAGCAUAUAUUUUUUCUAUUAGUCUAUUUUAUUGAUAAGGAGUAUAGUUUUAUUUCAUUUAUGUACUGGUAAUAGUCAUGAAGGAAAGCACACAUUACUACUAUGAAUUGAAGGUCUUUUCCACAUCUAUGCAGAUAACUUUUGCUUGAACGGCUACAGUACAUAUGUGAAUAGGUUGUGCCAGUAAGCUUCAUCACAUAUGAACAAGAAUUCAUAAACGAAAGGAUGAUGUGUUCGAAGUCCACAUAUGCAUACAUAUUCAACGAGGAUUCAUGACAACAUGCGUACAUAUGCAACAAGAGUUCACAAACAAAAUUAUGAGUUCCAAUUUCACACCAAGCAUGAGUACUUUGUCGAUUCCUCAUAUCAUAACUUCUCAAGAACUCGAGAAAUUUCUCUUUACCAUAGCUCAAAAGGGAAUAUAUAAUGUCAAUGACGUCGAAUGCAUUCGACUACAAUACUUUUAUGGAAUUGUAGAAAACAAGUGGAUUAAAAACCUGCUAGUUGAUGCUAUGCUGUUCCACUUCCACCUGCCAUGCCUCUUCCAUCUCUUUACCUUCUUAAUCAGCUUCUUAAAUGCCUGAAAGAAUGAGCGACUCAAAUAAUUGAGUGGAUAAUCAUUGCACAGCAUAGGUUACAAUAAUACAUACAGAAUAUUGAUCCAUAUCAAGAUAAGAAAAAACACAGCUAACACAACUCGCGUGAGAAGUGUCAGUCAUUAAGCAGACACUAUAGCAUAGGAACAAAACAAUGAGAUGACUAAAUAAUAACCAGCAGGUGCACAUUGUUGUAGAACUCACUUAGAAUAAAAUUGUAUUAUUUCCCCGUUAUAUUGUCGUUGUUCUUGUAAGUAAAUUUCUCUCAAGGUCAUUAUUACAAUCAGGUUGUUAACAUCACAAUAAACUUCAAAUCUGAGUUUGUGCCAACAGUGUAAAACUGCAAUGGCAUGCCACUACUAUCACUAGUAGCAGUAGUAGAAACACACGGCAUUGAGCCAACCACAUUGGACCCGGAUUGGAUAUAAACCAGUUUUAAAGGGUCUGUCCGCUGGGCCCCCUCCCUGCAGCAAAUGGCCGCAAGGCCUUUAGGACCGGUUUGUAACACAAACCGGUCCUAAAGGUUUUUGGACCGUUUGCUGCAGGGAGGGGGGCCCAGUGGACAGACCCUUUAGAACCGGUUUGUAUCACAAACCGGUGCUAAAGGUUUUCUCAUUUUUGCAGCAACUGCGGGGCCCCGCUGUCAGACCCUUUAGCACCGGUUUUUAACACAAACCGGUCCUAAAGCCCUCCCCUAUAUUCCACUCCGAGCUCAGCUCCAUUUUUUCCAGCUCAAACUCAACUCCAUUUUUGCUCUCUCCUUCCUCUUGGGAGCUCUAAUCCAUCCCCAUUUUUCUCCACCAUUUGUCAAGAUUGUUGGCACCCAUCGGUCCUACGGUUAGCAUCAACAUUCCCUCUUCCGACAUUGCAAGUUUUGCUCGUUUUCUUGCUCAUUUCAUUUUUGUUGUGCUAGCUAGGUGUUUGAUGAAAUGCCUAAGCUAGAGAGAGUUCAUCAUUUGUUAUGUAUACAUAUGCAAUUUGAGCUCAAAUUUAAUUAUGAUUUGUGGUUUUUUUUAGUGUCGCGCGCCUUGUCCCCUUCCUCACCGCCGUCGAUCGCCCCGUCACCGACACAACCUUGGUGAGCCUGUUGUUUUUAUUUACCAAAACAAAUUUUGAUUUGUAUGAUUUACAUAUUUACUUGUAUAUAAUUUUCUUAUUGUGUAAGAUUUUUUUUAUAUGUAUAGCGCCAUGGUUUUGAUAUCCGUCCCCGUUGGCCCUCGUCAAGUCUAUGAUUCGGAUGUGGUAUAUUAUCUUUUAUAACUACAUAUUUUCAUUUCCUGAUUAUAUGACAAUUAAUUACGCCGACCAACUUGACAUAGAUAUUUUUAUCUAGGAGGUAGUGGAACCGGAAAUGCCAAUCGACCCUAUUGUUGAGAAGUUACACUUAGUUGAACAAGAAAAUGUUGGCCUGAAAGAAAGAUUGAAAAAAACUGAAGAAAGGUUGGAAAAAACUGAAAGAGAGAAGAUGACCUUGGAAAAGGUUUUUGCCGGUGUCGUCGAUGGUCACAAGAGCGAGAUGGACG
rnacentral:lncRNA from 1 species